GGCUUUAUAGUCAAUUAUGACAUUAGACUGCAAUUCUAAAGGAAUAAAAAUAUUAUUAAAGCUU
rnacentral:tRNA from 1 species